UUUCAUAUCAAAAGAGGAAGUCCGCGGGGGCUGGUGCUGUGGCUUAGGAGGCUAAGCUGCUGCCUACAUUGUUGGUAUUCCAUAUGGGUGCCGGUUCGAGUCCCAGCUGCUCCACUUCUGAUCCAGCUCUCUGAUAUGGCCUGGGAAAAGCAGAGAAGAUGGCCCAAGUCCUUCUCCUACUCCACGUGGGAGACCUGGAAGAAGCUCCUGGUUCCUGGCUUCAGAUCGGCGCAGCUCCAUCCAUUGCAGCCAACUGGGGAGUGAACCAGUGGAUGGAAGACCUCUCUCUCUCUCUCUUUCUCUCUCUCUGCCUCUUCUUUCUCUGUGUAACUCUGACUUUCAAAUAAAUAAAUAAAUCUUAAAAAAAAAAAAAGAGGAAUUCUAACUCCUACUCCCCUAAAACUUCGGCUGGCCUUGGUAACUGGCUCAACCAACAGAGUGCUAUGGAAGUGACUUUCUGGGCCUUGUGAGAGUUGGUUGUUAAAAAAAAAAAAAAAAAAAAUCAACCAGGGGAGGCACCAUGGCUCACUUGGCUAAUCCUACGCCUGCGGCACUGGCAUCCCGUAUGAGCGCCGGGUUCUAGUCCCGGUUGCUCCUCUUCCAGUCCAGCUCUCUGCUGUGGCCCGGGAAGGCAGUGGAGGAUAGCCCAGGUGAUUGGGUGCCUGCACCCGCAUGGGAGACCAGGAGGGAGCACCUGGCUCCUGGUUUCAGAUCAGCGCAGUGCCGGCCGUAGCAGCCAUUUGGGGGUUGAACCAUUGGAAGGAAGACUUUUCUCUCUGUCUCUCUCUCUCACUGUCUAAUUCUACCUGUCGAAUAAGUAAAACAAACAAACAAACAAACAAACAAAAAAAACCCUGGGUCUUUUGGGACAUCUACUCAUGGGAUGCUCCCUUUUGGAACCCAGGAACUGCACCAUGAGAAGCUCAAGUCACAUGGAACAGCCACAUGGAGAUUCUCCAGGUGGGAGCCCAGAUGAAGUUCUUCAGUUAAUAGCCAGCAUCCAUUUCAGGCAUGGAAAGCCAAGACUCUGUGGCAAAAAAUAUGCUAUACAGAGGAUCUCUGGGACCUCAGUGGAAAGAAAGGGCCAUCAAAGAAGGAUAUACGUUUCUCUAAAGGGAGGAGAGAACAUCCACUUUGCUUACGGCUGUGUCCAAAUACUAAUGGAGUCUGUGGUUACAAAAGGCUUCCAUAGCCUUGGCAGCCAAAGACAAGAGCCUUGGGUGGUCCUUGAUGUUGUAAAUAAGAGUGUUAAUUGUGAAAGGAACAACAGAAGUCACUGUGCCCUUACUCCUCAUGUAGGACUACCAUUCUUAGUGAGUUGUACUAUGAGAAUCGAUUGCAAAUCUUGUUCUCAAACUCUAUAUGUGGUGUGUGUGGGGGUGCAAACUGUUGAAAUCAAUGCUUAACAUGGAGUUGGUCCUCUGUAUAUAAAAUCAAACUAAAAAUGAACCAUAAUGAAGAAGGGGAUGGGAGAGGGAAAGGGAGGUGGGGUGGGAGUCAGGGUGGGAGGAUGGGUAUGGGGGAAAGAAAAGAACCAUUAUAUUCCUAAAUUUGUAUCUGUGAAAAAAUGCAUUCAUUAAAUAAAACUUAAAAAAAAAAUAGCCAGCGUCCUCUGCCAGCCAUGUGAGUGGUUCUUUCUGAUGCACAUCCCAGUUUAGCCUUCAGAUGAUUGUAGCCUCGCCAAAAUCUGACUAUACUUCCCGGGAGACUCCAAGCAAUAACUGCCCAGUCAAUCCUAGUCAACACACAGGAAAACGCAAGACAAGAAUAAGUGAAUGUUUUAAGCUACUGUGCUUCAGUGUUGCUUGUUACACAGUAACAGAUCACUAGAAUGUUUUGUCUUCUCUUAUGUAAGACAUGAAGAAUACAUAUAUUUUAUCAAAUACCAGGAAAAUUCAUAAUGCCACUUAGAAUGCAUACUUAUUUUUCUGUGUGUGUGUGUGUGUGUUUUUUUUCCUUUUAAAGAUCACUUUAUGGGGCCAGCGCUAUGACACAGCAGGUUAAAGCCCCACCUGCAGCUCUGGCAUCCCAUAUGUGCACUGGUUAGAGUCCCAGCUGCUCCACUUCCAAUCUAGCUCCCUGCUUAUGUGCCUGGGAAAGCAGGGGAGGAUGGCCCAAGUGCUUGGGCCCCUGCACCCUUGUGGAAUACUUGGAAGAAGCACCUGGCUCUUGGCCUCAGCCUGAACCAGCCCUAGUCAUUGCAGCCAUUUAGGGAGUGAACCAGUGGAUGGAAGACCUCUCUCUCUCUCUCUCCCUCUCUCUCUGUCUGUCUCUACCUUUCUCUGUAACUCUGCCUUUCAAAUAAAUAAAAAUAAAUGUUAAAAAAACACUUUAUUACUUACUAGUCUUGAAUCUAGAAACUGAAUCCACUUAUUGAUCAGAAAUCUUCCAAGAUACUUAAAUAUUUUGACUGUAAUAUUUUGAGUACUGAUCAAGAAAAUGUGAUGUAGACGUGACAAAAAUAAUGAUUGUAUUUAUUUAUUUAUUUAUUUAUUGACAGGCAGAGUGGACAGUGAGAGAGAGAGAAAGAGAGAAAGGUCUUCCUUUGCCAUUGGUUCACCCUCCAACGGCCGCCGCGGCUGGCGCACUGUGGCCGGUGCACGGUGCUGAUCCGAUGGCAGGAGCCAGGUACUUCUCCUGGUCUCCCAUGGGGUGCAGGGACCAAGCACUUGGGCCAUCCUCCACUGCACUCCCUGGCCACGGCAGAGAGCUGGCCUGGAAGAGGGGCAACCGGGACAGAAUCCAGCGCCCUGACUGGGACUAGAACCUGGUGUGCCGGCGCCGCAAGGCGGAGGAUUAGCCUAGUGAGGCAUGAUUGUUUAAAUCCUAGUUCAGUCAUUCAUCAUUGGAUGACUUCUUUAGCAUGCCUAGUUACCAAUAUUAUCAUUUAUUUGAACGUGUUUAGUAAUGGCUGAUAAAACAUUUAGUAAGUGUUAUUUUCCUCUCUUCUUAUGAAAUCCUGUAAUCGUAAGUGCAACCUUGUUGAAGAGUAACAUGUUAUCAUUUGGCGUCCUAAAACUGAGCAUUUUCUUUGUCAGAUACAUUCCUUGUUGUAUAUUCCAUGAGCUGUCAUAGUGCUUCUCUUCACAGUGUGAUCUACCUUCUGUUUCCUGGGAGGAUGACUUGUUUAAUAGGUUUUGGAGACUCAUUCUGUUGAUAGAGUCUCAUAAAAGCACUUUUGUAGCAAGCUUUGGUUUUCAAGGACAUGACCCUGUUCAUAUCUUGAAUGCAGCUCCCUGCCCUAGUGCAAAUGUUAAUAAGUUAAGUGCAUAUCAAAUAAGAAUUUUAAUUCAGUUCAUCAUAUGUUUAUGUAUUUAAAUUUAAGAGUCAAAUUGAUAUAAUUGGUAACAUUACCCAUUUGCUUUGAUUUGAGAUGCCAAGUGAUUGAAAAAAAUUUUUAAUUUAGAAGCGAAUUACCUCGCUUAUUUGAAUUUAUCAUUUUUGCAUAAUUAGUAUGAACUAAUUUAAUUUGCAGUUAUCCUUUUAAAUGACUUAAAUGAUGUCUGCUGAGAUACUCAAUGCCACAUGAUUAGUGGAGUCAUCCUGCAUAUUUCUCCAUUCUCAUAGGAGUAAAAAAUAUUAAAGUACAACUGUGAUGCUUAAAGAGAGAAUUCACAGCUUGAUCCUUUUUCUAUGAAUUUCCUACUUUUUGUUCUGCUUUGUUCCCCUCAUCUCACUCUAGGGUGCAUUAAGUUUUCCAGAAGGACCAUAUUUUGCAUUUGGAGAUGGAAUGUCUUCCUUGUUCAACUCUAUCCUGAUCUAUGCUAUUUUCACUGGAUGUUUAGCUCACAUCUCAGAUCUGCUAAGGGAAGACUGGUUAUACACUUGGUCCUGCAUUAAGAAAUAAUUUUGUGGUUGUGACAAGCACCUAAGAAACUGUGAAACAAACUGGAAUUGAUAAUGUUAGAGUAUGUUAUAUGCAAUAAAGAUGAAGAAAUAAUGAUUAAAGAAUUAAAUAAGAAGCCAUUUACUUAUGGAUAUUAGCAAACACUAGAUUUUUGUAGGAUUUAUUGAAUUAAUUCACAUAUAACUCUUCAGAUUGUUUCUUGGCAUGGGUAAGUUAGCUAUUACUAUUACUCCUCCAAACACAUGGGUACAUAAGAAUCAGUAAAUCCACUGAGACAAAAAGGAUGUUGGUGUUGCCAAGGGCUGGGAGAGUGGGAUGCAGAAUGGGGAGGGUAGGUGUGGAUUUUUCUUUUGGAAAUUUUUGAAAGUUCCUAGACAGCAAAUUGUCUUCCUGCACAUGGAGUGAUGAAAUGUUUUGGAGCUAGAUGGAAAUGAUAGUGUAUAACAUUGUAACAGUACUAAAUGCCAAUGAUUUGUAUGCUUCAAAAUGUUUAAUUCAUGUUAUGUGAAUUUCACUUCAGUAAGUCACCCAGCUUGUGGUGGAUCACACAGGUCCAGGAGACACUUGGGAGAGGGUACAGCCUUGAAAUUUGUAUCCUGGGAUCUUCCUUCCCCUUACCCCAGUCCCGGAUUUAGUAAUAUAGUAAGAAUUUGUACCUAAAUAAUCUUUUGCUUUCUAAAUAACGUGCUUUUUUAAAAUGCUAACAUGCUGUUUCAAACAUCAGAGAAUGUCCUUCCUCAGUGGUUGAUAGCUUUGUGAGUCUGGGUUGAAAAGAACAGUUGAAGUGUCCCCACCUCAGGCAGGAAAACAAGUGAAUUGUUGAAGCCCUUUAUAGUUUACAAAGCUGUUUAAGAGAACAAUUGGUUACAAAUAAGAGGAAAUUUCCACGUGCUGAGUAACCUAUCCAACGUGCAUGGUAAACAUGACUCAAGAGGAGAGGUGGAGCCAGAAGGGAACCCUUGAGGUUCAUAGAAACUUCUCUUCUGCUCUUGGCUCCAUCUUUACUGAUUGCAAAAGAGACUCUAAGACUUCAGGGCUGGGUCUGUUAAAAGCAAAGUGACAUCAGUGGUCUCCUUUCUCUGUAAGCAGUGCCACUGAGCUUGCUGGGGUCAUUUUUGGGCUGGAGAAACUAUUUAGUCUAGGCUCAAUAGAUUUUAGUUUACAAGACUGGGAGAGUCUCCUUGGGAAGAUGUCAAACUUCAGAUCAUCCACAGCUAAUCUCAGCAGUUUGCUUUAUUUGUAACUGUGUAAAUGUGUUGUAGCAACAACCAAGUUCAUAAACACAGCCACUUCAUUGGUCACUCUUUCAAAACAGGAAGGUAUUAAUAAACAGCUACUUUUCAUGUGAAGGCAACUUGACAUACAUAAUUUGGCUAAGAAUUAUGUGGCCACAAAACCCCCCAUGUUUCAUUUAUUACAUGUUAUUCCUUGUAUUUGUUUUGAAAGGAUUUUGAGGUAGCCUUCACUCACUUUCUGGGGCUUUGCCAGUAUCAAAGAUGGAAGCCCAGCUAUCUGCCAGUGCUGUGUAGCCCUAGCUCUGAUGCAGCAGUGAGCACAGAGGGGUGGGCACAAGGGUUACUUCUUGUGCGUGCAAAACUUUAAAGACAUCUUUAAAGCUUCCAGAUGUUCUUGUCUGUUUUUCAACGUGAAUUAUGAACCUUCUUUCUCUGCCACUGGGGAUAUUAAGACAAAUAGCACAUUUUCUCCCUCCAGGAACUUACAGUCUAAUUUGGAAGACAGUCACAUAAGCAGCUACCUGUAGAACAGAUGAUAAGACCAUCCUAAAUUUUGUGAACUAAAACCAGAUGAACAGAGCAGGAAUCAUGGUAUUCACUUUAUUUUUAGUUGACAUGUAGUAAGUGUACAUUUUAUGGGGUACAAUGUGAUAAUUUGAUACAUGUCUAUAAUAUGUAAUGGUCAAAUCAGGGUAAUUCACAUUUCUAACAUCAUUUUUGUGCUGGAAUCCUUCAAACUCUCUUUGAUAGUUCUUUUUUUUUUUCUUAAAGAUUUAUUUAUUUAUUUGACAUACUUAGAGGGAGAGUGGAGAGAGAGAGAGAGAAUAUCUUCCAUCCUCUGGUUCACUCCCCAGGAUAGCUGCAACAGCCGGGGCUGGGUCAGGCUGAAGCCAGGAGCCAGGAGCUUCUUCCAGGUCUCCCACAUGGGUGCAGGGGCCCAAGGACUUGGGCUGUCUUCUGCUUUUCCCAGGCCAUUAUCAGGAAGUUUGAUCACAAGAGGUGCAGCAGGGACUUGAAUAGGCUCCCAUAUGUGAUGCCAGCAUCACAGGUAGCAGCUUUACCCGCUACACCACAAUGCCAGCCCCUAGUUCAUUUUUUUCAUUUAAUUUCUUUUAUUUAUUGGAAAGGCAAAAUGAGAGAGAGGGAGAGACAGAGAAAGAGAUCUCCCUCUGCUGGUGCACUCUCAAAUAGCUGCAACAGCUGGAACAGGCCCAGGCCAAAUCUAGGAGUCUGGAGUCUGGAACUCCAUCUGGUCUCCCAUGUGGGUGGUAGGGACCCAGAAAGACCUGGACGGUCUUCUGCUGCCUUCCCAGACACAUUAGCAGGGAGUUGGAUUGGAAACAGAGCAGCAAGGACUUGAACCAGUGGUUAAUACAUAAAUUACCUUUUCUAGGAUUUAGAAAUUGAUAUAUAUUGCACAUACUAUAUAUUCAUUGUUUGCCAAUCCUGGUGAACUCUUUGUCUAUAUCCUGCUCUGCACUCAUCUGCAGGUAUCCCUUGCCUGCCGGUAUCCAAGGUACAAUCACGAGUGCUCAGCCCCUUCCAUUUCUGUGCUUGGGCAGCCCCUCCACUCCUAGGGGUGCUAAGGGUCUCCUGAUGUUGCUUACUCUGCCAUCUAUGGUUGCUUUGAUUCCCUUAGCCCUGCCUGCAUCAACAGUCUCUUCAUUUCAGCUUUUCUCAAUUGGUCUCUUGAAGUAGUAAAUUUUUUUUUUUUUAAGAUUUAUUUAUUUGAAAGUGAGAGUUACACAGAGAGAAGGAGAGGCAGAGAGAGAGAGAGAAAGUCUUCGAUCCACUGGUUCACUCCCCAGUUGGCUGCAACAGCCGGAGCCAUGCCAAUACAAAGCCAGGAGCAGGAGCCUCCCUCGGGUCUUCCCAUGUGGGUGCAGCUGGGACUUGAACUGAUGCCCAUAUGGGAUGCCAGCACUGCAGGUGGCUGAUUUACCUGUUAUGCCACAGUGCCAGCCCCCUAAGUAUUGAAUUUCUUGCAGACCCAAAAUCACACAUUAUCUAGCCGUGUGUACAAAGAUGUUGGAGGUAUAUACAUGAUGUUUUACAUUCAUAUACUGAGUUUAUUAAAUAAAACUCAGGUAUGUACAAUUAGAAAGUCAUUUUUACCUUCACAUUUUUUGAAAACUUUUAUUUAAGGAGUACAAACUAAAUACAUUUCAUAAUUACAACUUUAGG